UACGUAGGGGGCUAGCGUUGUCCGGAUUUAUUGGGCGUAAAGAGCGUGUAGGCGGCCAGGUAGGUCUGCUGUGAAAACUCGAGGCUCAACCUCGAGACGUCGGCGGAAACCAUCUGGCUAGAGUCCGGAAGAGGAGAGUGGAAUUCCCAGUGUAGAGGUGAAAUUCGUAGAUAUUGGGUGGAACACCGGUGGCGAAAGCGGCUCUCUGGUCCGGACCUGACGCUGAGGCGCGAAAGCGUGGGGAGCAAACAGG
rnacentral:rRNA from 1 species